AGAGUUUGAUCCUGGCUCAGAAUCAACGCUGGCGGCGUGCCUAACACAUGCAAGUCGAACGAGAAAGGGGAGCAAUCCCUGAGUAAAGUGGCGCACGGGUGAGUAACACGUGACUAACCUACCCUUGAGUGGGGGAUAACCUAGGGAAACCUGGGCUAAUACCGCAUAAUACCUACGGGUCAAAGGAGCAAUUCGCUCGAGGAGGGGGUCGCGGCCGAUUAGUUAGUUGGCGGGGUAAUGGCCCACCAAGACGAUGAUCGGUAUCCGGCCUGAGAGGGCGCACGGACACACUGGAACUGAAACACGGUCCAGACUCCUACGGGAGGCAGCAGUGGGGAAUUUUGCGCAAUGGGGGAAACCCUGACGCAGCAACGCCGCGUGGAGGAUGAAGUACUUCGGUACGUAAACUCCUUUCGAUCGGGACGAUUAUGACGGUACCGAGAGAAGAAGCCCCGGCUAACUUCGUGCCAGCAGCCGCGGUAAUACGAGGGGGGCGAGCGUUGUUCGGAAUUAUUGGGCGUAAAGGGUGCGUAGGCGGUUUGGUAAGUCUGAUGUGAAAUCUAUGGGCUCAACUCAUAGUCUGCAUCGGAAACUGCCGGGCUUGAGUGUGGGAGAGGUGAGUGGAAUUCCUGGUGUAGCGGUGAAAUGCGUAGAUAUCAGGAGGAACACCUGUGGCGAAAGCGGCUCACUGGACCAUAACUGACGCUGAUGCACGAAAGCUAGGGGAGCAAACAGGAUUAGAUACCCCGGUAGUCC
rnacentral:rRNA from 1 species